CGCCGCCCUAGCUCUUUCGAUUUCUCCUCGUUCGAUACUGCUACAUAUCCGAUCCAGUUCGCGUUCUUGCUCCAUACCUUUGGCCAUCGCGAUUUCUUGAAGAAAUUAGGCAUGUUGAUGUUUGAUGUUGCGUACAGUAUUUUGAGAACGGAUCGUAAUCGAAGGCGUCGUAGCAAGAUUGUGCCAUUUCGCCGUAUCUGAUUAACUCGGAGCGGAGGAGAUCGUUCAUUGGAUCCAGUAAUCCAGUCCAAUCGUUGCUGCCGUGGAUUUCUCGCCAGGAAUCAGCGACUUUCGCUUCAGCCUUGGAACUGAAAAUUUGAGGUUGAGUAAUGGAGUUGAGAAGAGGAUUGUUUGGAGUGGUGGAGUUGCUUUGGAAUUGAGAAGAGAAAGUUGGACAGAAGAAUCGCCAUUAUUGAUGAAUAUGAUCACAAGUUUUUUUGUGAUGAAGAUGAAGGAAAUGAUCUGGGGAAGAUGAUGAAUGCAAUCAAGUUUGUUUAUAAUUAAAUAAUAGAUUGAAAUAAUGAGAGUUGAUGGGGGAAUAUAGUGGUUUUUCAAACUAAUGACAAAAAAAAAAUUUGCUAGAUAGGAAAAUUUUUCAAAAAGAGGUGGAAAUGGAAAAUAUUGGCAAAAAUAGGGUUGUAUUUGGGAUGAUAAUCGUGUACCCGUACACUAUUACCUUUAAUCUAGUCAUUACCAAGUAAGCACUA